UCAUCGAUCUGCGCAGCUUCCUCAUCUUCUCCGUAUGUCGUAAUUGCAGGAACAAGCAGGAGUUCGAGUACCAGUUGUAGCUGGCCAUAACUGAAACGGUGAGGUAUGCGUUAUUUAGGUUAUCCGAGAUCGGUGUAUCGCAAUCGAUUCGUGCAUUGCUCUUAGGCGAACCGUCUCGAUGAUGAGACGCGAUCGAUUAAGAUUGCUGAUCGAUAGUCCGCUGAAACGAACUUGUUCGUUGCAAUAAGCAGACCGCGGAUCAUUAUGCGAAAUAUAUAUUAGGUUAUGUGAUAAGUCCGUUCGCGGACGCCUACGAAAAGACAAGGCGAAUUACGCGAAUUCAAAGCGAUAGUUCUGAUGAAUUUUGAAAUAUGUUCUCGCGGGACUAUUUCCUUGCAACUUAGCUUAAACGGAAGCUGAAAGUGUCUACUUUAAGACAGGUUAGAUUAUAUUGCAAUAGAACGACGUGAUCAUUUUGAACAAUUAAAACGAAUCGAUCUCUGACAUUAUAGGGUUUGCAAGAUUUAAAAGACAGGUUAGAUUAUAUUGCAAUAGAACGACGUGAUCGUUUUCAACAAUUAAAAGGAAUCGAUCUCUGACAUUAUGGGGUUUGCAAGAUUUAAAACACAGGUUAGAUUAUAUUGCAAUAGAACGAC